ACGGAAGGCAGCAGUAGGGAAUAUUGCACAAUGGGGGGAACCCUGAUGCAGCAACGCCACGUGUGGGAAGAAGCAUUUCGGUGUGUAAACCACUGUCGUGAGGGAAUAAGGCAUUGUUUCGGCGAUGUUGAAUGUACCUCGAAAGGAAGCACCGGCAAACUUCGUGCCAGCAGCCGCGGUAAUACGAGGGGUGCAAGCGUUGUUCGGAAUCACUGGGCGUAAAGGGAGCGCAGGCGGAGAUGCAAGCGGACUGUGCAAUCCCGGGGCCCAACCCCGGACCUGCAGUCCGGACCGCACCUCUUGGAUAGUUCAGGGGCAAGCGGAAUUCCUGGUGUAGCGGUGGAAUGCGUAGAGAUCAGGAAGAACACCGAUGGCGAAGGCAGCUUGCUGGGGACUUAUCGACGCUCAUGCUCGAAAGUGCGGGUAGCAAACAGGAUUAGAUACCCUGGUA
rnacentral:rRNA from 1 species